rnacentral:rRNA from 1 species
CCUACGGGUGGCAGCAGUGAGGAAUAUUGGUCAAUGGGCGAAAGCCUGACGCAGCGACGCCGCGUGAGGGAUGAAGGUCUUCGGAUCGUAAACCUCUGUCAGCAGGGAAGAACGGUCACGGUGCUAAUCAGCAGUGACUUGACGGUACCUGCAAAGGAAGCACCGGCUAACUCCGUGCCAGCAGCCGCGGUAAUACGGAGGGUGCGAGCGUUCAUCGGAAUUACUGGGCGUAAAGCGCUCGUAGGCGGUAUGUCAAGUCAAGGGUGAAAUCCCCGCGCUCAACGUGGGAACUGCCUUUGAAACUGGCAAACUGGAGUGUGUGAGAGGAUAGUGGAAUUCUAGGUGUAGGAGUGAAAUCCGUAGAUAUCUGGAGGAACAUUAGUGGCGAAGGCGACUAUCUGGCACAUAACUGACGCUGAGGAGCGAAAGCGUGGGUAGCAAACAGGAUUAGAUACCCCGGUAGUC